GACGAACGCUGGCGGCGUGCUUAACACAUGCAAGUCGAACGCUGAUCCACUUUCGGGUGGUGAUGAGCGGCGAACGGGUGAGUAACACGUGAGUAACCUGCCCUGGACUUUGGGAUAACCCUCGGAAACGGGGCUAAUACCGAAUAUGACUUCCCCUCGCAUGGGGGGUGGUGGAAAGUUUUUCGGUCUGGGAUGGGCUCGCGGCCUAUCAGCUUGUUGGUGGGGUGAUGGCCUACCAAGGCGACGACGGGAGCCGGCCUGAGAGGGCGACCGGCCACACUGGGACUGAGACACGGCCCAGACUCCUACGGGAGGCAGCAGGUGGGAAUAUUGCACAAUGGGCGGAAGCCUGAUGCAGCGACGCCGCGUGAGGAUGAC
rnacentral:rRNA from 1 species